UACGUAGGGUGCGAGCGUUGUCCGGAAUUAUUGGGCGUAAAGAGCUUGUAGGCGGUCUGUCGCGUCUGCUGUGAAAAUCCGGGGCUCAACCCCGGACUUGCAGUGGGUACGGGCAGACUAGAGUGUGGUAGGGGAGACUGGAAUUCCUGGUGUAGCGGUGAAAUGCGCAGAUAUCAGGAGGAACACCGAUGGCGAAGGCAGGUCUCUUGGCCACUACUGACGCUGAGAAGCGGAAAGCAUGGGGAGCGAACAGG
rnacentral:rRNA from 1 species